rnacentral:rRNA from 1 species
UACAGAGGUCUCAAGCGUUGUUCGGAUUCAUUGGGCGUAAAGGGUGCGUAGGCGGCGCGGUAAGUCAGGGGUGAAAUCCUGGAGCUCAACUCCAGAACUGCCUUUGAUACUGAGAAGCUUGAGUCCGGGAGAGGUGAGUGGAACUGCGAGUGUAGAGGUGAAAUUCGUAGAUAUUCGCAAGAACACCAGUGGCGAAGGCGGCUCACUGGCCCGGUACUGACGCUGAGGUGCGAAAGCGUGGGGAGCAAACAGG